GAUGAACGCUGGCGGCGUGCCUAAUACAUGCAAGUCGAGCGAACAGACGAGUAGCUUGCUCCUCUGACGUUAGCGGCGGACGUGUUAGUAACACGUGGAUAACCUACCUAUAAGACUGGGAUAACUUCGGGAAACCGGAGCUAAUACCGGAUAAUAUAUUGAACCGCAUGGUUCAAUAGUUAAAGACGGUUUUGCUGUCACUUAUAGAUUGAUCCGCGCCGCAUUAGCUAGUUGGUAAGGUAACGGCUUACCAAGGCGACGAUGCGUAGCCGACCUGAGAGGGUGAUCGGCCACACUGGAACUGAGACACGGUCCAGACUCCUACGGGAGGCAGCAGUAGGGAAUCUUCCGCAAUGGGCGAAAGCCUGACGGAGCAACGCCGCGUGAGUGAUGAAGGUCUUCGGAUCGUAAAACUCUGUUAUUAGGGAAGAACAAAUGUGUAAGUAACUAUGCACGUCUUGACGGUACCUAAUCAGAAAGCCACGGCUAACUACGUG
rnacentral:rRNA from 1 species